AGAGUUUGAUCAUGGCUCAGGACGAACGCUGGCGGCGUGCCUAAUACAUGCAAGUCGAACGAAGCUUUCUUUCACCGAAUGCUUGCAUUCACCGAAAGAAGCUUAGUGGCGAACGGGUGAGUAACACGUAGGCAGCCUGCCCAAAAGAGGGGGAUAACACUUGGAAACAGGUGCUAAUACCGCAUAACCAUGAACACCGCAUGAUGUUCAUGUAAAAGACGGCUUUUACUGUCACUUUUGGAUGGGCCUGCGGCGUAUUAACUUGUUGGUGGGGUAACGGCCUACCAAGGUGAUGAUACGUAGCCGAACUGAGAGGUUGAUCGGCCACAUUGGGACUGAGACACGGCCCAAACUCCUACGGGAGGCAGCAGUAGGGAAUCUUCCACAAUGGACGAAAGUCUGAUGGAGCAACGCCGCGUGAAUGAAGAAGGCCUUCGGGUCGUAAAAUUCUGUUGUCAGAGAAGAACGUGCGUGAGAGUAACUGUUCACGUAUUGACGGUAUCUGACCAGAAAGCCACGGCUAACUACGUGCCAGCAGCCGCGGUAAUACGUAGGUGGCGAGCGUUGUCCGGAUUUAUUGGGCGUAAAGGGAACGCAGGCGGUCUUUUAAGUCUGAUGUGAAAGCCUUCGGCUUAACCGAAGUAGUGCAUUGGAAACUGGAAGACUUGAGUGCAGAAGAGGAGAGUGGAACUCCAUGUGUAGCGGUGAAAUGCGUAGAUAUAUGGAAGAACACCAGUGGCGAAAGCGGCUCUCUGGUCUGUAACUGACGCUGAGGUUCGAAAGCGUGGGUAGCAAACAGGAUUAGAUACCCUGGUAGUCCACGCCGUAAACGAUGAGUGCUAAGUGUUGGAGGGUUUCCGCCCUUCAGUGCUGCAGCUAACGCAUUAAGCACUCCGCCUGGGGAGUACAGUCGCAAGACUGAAACUCAAAGGAAUUGACGGGGGCCCGCACAAGCGGUGGGGCAUGUGGUUUAAUUCGAAGCAACGCGAAGAACCUUACCAGGUCUUGACAUCUUCUGACAAUUCCAGAGAUGGAACGUUCCCUUCGGGGACAGAAUGACAGGUGGUGCAUGGUUGUCGUCAGCUCGUGUCGUGAGAUGUUGGGUUAAGUCCCGCAACGAGCGCAACCCUUAUUGUCAGUUGCCAUCAUUAAGUUGGGCACUCUGGCGAGACUGCCGGUGACAAACCGGAGGAAGGUGGGGAUGACGUCAAAUCAUCAUGCCCCUUAUGACCUGGGCUACACACGCGCUUCAAUGGACGGUACAACGAGUCGCUAACUCGCGAGGGCAAGCUAAUCUCUUAAAGCCGUUCUCAGUUCGGAUUGCAGGCUGCAACUCGCCUGCAUGAAGUCGGAAUCGCUAGUAAUCGCGAAUCAGGAUGUCGCGGUGAAUACGUUCCCGGGCCUUGUACACACCGCCCGUCACACCAUGAGAGUUUGUAACACCCAAAGUCGGUGGGGUAACCUUUUGGAGCCAGCCGCCUAAGGUGGGACAGAUGAUUGGGGUGAAGUCGUAACAAGGUA
rnacentral:rRNA from 1 species